GAGAGAGAGAGAGAGAGAGAGAGAGAGAGAGAGAGAGAGAGAAGGUGAAUCGAGAUGUUUGAAGAAAAGAAGGAGAGAAACAGUCACAAUAUAUAACACGACGAAUUAAAUUGUUCGCUGCAGAAAUUAAUCAUCGCCUUCAUCUUUAGCUGUUUUACAUGAUUAGCGUUGGAAAAACAAUUAACUUUGAAUUCGCCAUUAAAGUUGGUCGACCUGAAAAAGUAGUUGGACAAGUGAAGAGGGAAAAAAGAUGAAAACAAAAAGGAUCAAUUUCAUCUUUUAAAACGAAACGUGUUUAUUGUGUCCGAAUUGAUUUGUUUGUUCUCAACAAUUUUCUCUGGUCAAUGUUUUCACUUGUUCUCUUUGUUGUUACUCCAUAGGAAUUGAUUGGUCAACGGAUUUUCAUUGUUACUCUUUCAUCGUUUUUAACUGUUUCUUUCUGUGUGACCAUUGUGAAUUUAAGUAUUUUCAAAUUACGAUAAUCAACCUGAUUCCUUGAUUGAAAUCAAUUGUUCCAUAAUCUGACAAUGGGCUCGAUUUAUGAUAAGAUAAAGUCACCGAAUGUUAGUAAACGCCGAUUGAAGCAACUUCGGUACCUUUUGAUGCUCCAUUUUGUUAUUACUCUGGUUUACGAAGUGGUUUGGACCUAUUUUAGUACCAUCGCUUAUCAGGCCGAUAUACGAAACUAUGAUACUGAUGAGAUUUACAAGAGAGAAUUUUUCAAAGCGACAAGAAAUUUCUUCAUCUUCACUGAGAUUCUCAAUUUUCUGGUUCUUUGUGUCGGUGGGGUGGCCAUUUAUAAGAAUCAUCGUCUCCUGUUGAUAGUGUUUAUUGUUAUGUUCCUGAUGGAAUGGGGAUUUGAAUUGAUUGGUAUUUAUGCCUCCAUGGAUUUUAACAUCUUCGUCUACAAGGUGAUCUGUCAAAUAACCAAACCUGGUCUUUUACUUUUCUCUUUCAUUUAUUGUUGGAUUAUGGAGGAAUCGUCAUCCCUUUAACCCCAUUGAAAAUAAUCAAAGGCAAUUAGAUGAAAGUAAAUCCCUUGGAUUCAAAGGAUUACCCUGACAGAGAUCAUCCAUUGGUAUUACAAUUUGAUACCAAGACAAUUCUAAUCUCAAUCAUGUUCAUUUGUAAUAAUUAUGAUCAUUUAUCCCUCAUGAACUUUACCCUCACCACCGUGAUCAUUAUAAUCCACAACAUAUACAAAGCUAAUCAACUCUAUCAUCAACUCUACUUUUUCAUUCAAACGCUAAUUGUAAUUUAAAAGUGUCCUUUUCAUCAAACAAUUAACUCACAAGUCACUUUGUCCAUUUUGAUUUUGGUCAAGUUACACAUUGGAAAAGAUUUUGAUUGACCAUUGGAUGAUUUCUCAUUCGAUUUGUUAUUUAAUUUAAUCAACUAUUGUAUCAUCUAUAUUUAGAUAAUUGCUGAUGCAAUAUAACAUGUCAAUAAUUGAGAAUCUUCAAUGAUUAAUUGUUAAUCAUUUCUCUUACACAAUCAACUUUACUCACAUCUCUUUUUUGUUUCUCUGAUUGUAAAUUAAAAAUCAACUCGAUAAGAAACAA